CGUCAUAGUCAGGGUUUCUCUGCAUCUUCUGUCCGGGUCAGUUCAAUUCGCAUAUAGCACAUGAUUUGAGGCCGGACUAAGGGCGCAGUAGGUCCCGGAACCGAACAUGAAAACAUAUAAACAUUUUGUGUACACAAGUUUGUACUGCACACAUUUUUAACGAACAUUUUAUACGGACCAUUUACGCCCGUGGGUCCGGGAGCCAUGGCUUUUCCUGUCCCCUUAAUCCGGCUUACCUCGAAAAUAGUUGAAAUCGACCGAAAGCCAAUGUGUCAGAAGGAUUCGCACUGGAUGUA